rnacentral:lncRNA from 1 species
CAUUGCUUUGCAGAUCCAACUUUUGUCUUUGCUCAAAUUUCUUCCCUCACAAAGGUCUCAUGAUUUUCCAGGGAUAUGCAUAGAUUCUGAGUACACACAGCCAACAACACAUCAUACUUCUGAAGCGGUAUUCCUUCUGGACUCCUCUGCCUCUAAUGAUGCUACAUAGUCUUCAGCAUGUAUAAAAUUUAUGUGAUGUUUGGAUAAUGAAGUAAGGAUCACCACCAGUGGGGGCGGAGUCAAGAUGGCGGCUUAGCAAGCAGCAAAAGUUCAGACCUUGUGGAAGACCCUUCCUAAACCGAUACAGAUUGAAUGCUCCUAGGGCACCGAAAUUCAAGCUGAACAACAGGACAGAAGCGGGGAAUCCUCCUUCUGGACUCAAAUCAAAAGGCCAGUACAAAGGGAUGCUCUUCUCUAAAUGGAUCUAUGGAAGUGAAACAGUUUAUAUCAUGGCUAUACCCUAUCAGUUAUACCCAUAUUCCUGGAAGUGGGAAGGAAGACAUCAAUGA